ensembl:lncRNA
GAGAAGUGACAUGCUCUCCAUGUGGGAAGCAAAAGUUACAUACUAAACCCCUGAGAAUGAUGAGCAGCUGCUGUAAGCAAAUAUUUGUACGCACCUGAGCAGCCUCUCAUUUGAGGACCUCUUCAAGUGAAGUGUGGGGCUUGGCUAAGCACUUUCUGCACAAAUCCAGAUUUUUAUUUUUGGCUGGAUUUACUUCUCCAGCUGUGGAAUAAACUGCUUGGUUAUAAAUGUUAGCCAUUAACUAUGGCAGUUAGCACAAGGAAAAUUGCAGUCAUAUAACAACACAAGAUAGAAACGACUUCUUGCCUCUGUGGCAUCUCCGUGAGCUGUAAAGAAUAGAGAGGAAUUCUGCACUUAACCUCAAGGACAGUUUGGUUGGUUUGCAUCCCAGCCUUUACUAGCUCACAUUGUUUUAUAUCAUGCAGUAUCAAAAGAAAAAGGCAUUGGUGGAAGAAGAGGGGCUGCCUGACAAACUGGUGCCUGACGUGGCAGUGCAUGUGAAGCAGAGAUGCUGCACUGAACUUUUGGCAUUUCUCAAAUGAAAAUUACUACUUUAUCAAGACCUACCACUGGUCUUUAUUAGUGAGGUCUCACUUCCUUAAUGACUGCCUGACAAGUUGUUCACUCAUGAUCUGAUGGAUUUGUUCCCAAAAACCAGCAUGCAGCUCCCAAGCAAUGAUAGAAUAUGUAUCCUCUUUUUGAACUAGGAUUGGAUGAUCAGCAUUUCUGCAGAUAAAAUCAUUUCUGAACUUUGCCUGAAAAUCUACACCCAUGGGAAUCCUGCUGUGAAUAUCUUCCCCCUGGAACAUAGCCUUUUGCAGCUCUGAAGGGUCGUUAUAUUGAAGUCCAAACAAUGGAAAUGCCUCAGACUUCUUAUCUCUCAGGAAUUUAAUGCAUUCUUUCUCUUAGAAGCACCACACUUCGAAGUGAAGGAACUGAAGACUGAGCAGUGAACAUGAAAAAUCACAUAUUCUCCAAAGACAUAACCAGACUUGAAGUCAGACUGACAUGGAAAGCAAUUCAAGGUCUCUGUAUGCUUUCCACUUCAAGUAAUUGGUGGAGAAGAGGUUGUGAGGAAUGAUUAGGCCUUGACCCAUUUUCCUUUGUACUUUUCUGCGUGGUGAUCCAAGUCAACCCUGUAUUGAUCCCAAACAAAAUAAUGCUAUGGCUGAAAUAGAAUUCGAAAAAGUGAACUAAGGCAGUAUAAUUACUAACAGUCUGUGUGGGUUUACAGAAAACAAAUCUUGUCAAACUAACUUAAUAUUUUUUAUGAGAUUAUAGAUUUUGUUGACAAAGGUAUUUCUACUGAUGAAAUGCACUUACAUUUCUGCAAGGCAUUAACCAGAGAAACAGGACAUUUCAAAACCAAUCUGGAAUACUUAAAAUGGUCUUAAGCCUGACAAGCCAAAAAGUCUAAAAACAAGGUAGGAAGCCAACAAAACACGCAAUAUGUUUUUAAUUAGGUUGAGACACAAAGCCAUCAAGAGCAAAGAUUUCAUGUCAACAGCAAUAACCCCUUUCUGGGAAGCGGUAACAAAAUGUUUAGCAGUUGAACCUUUAGCUUAGCCAGCCUAACAUUCAGAUAGCUUUGUUUUCAGCAUUAUGAAUCCGUAUUACUACUGUCAUGAUUAAUAAAAAGCACAGAAGAAACUGGGAAGACCUGGCCCUUCACAAGUUUUUCUUCCUUAAAUGAAAAUGGAGUCAGCUUAUGAGUUCACUGGCCUUCUAGCACAUGGUCUCUACUAGUUUUGUUUAGCACAUUAUAUACAUUUCUUCAGUUUGGUGAAAUCUCUCAUUGCUCAUUCCCUAUUUCACAUUUAUUCUACCACCCAAGCAUUGAAACUGAACACUCUCUUCAUAGUCCUACUGAGUUACAGUAUUAACACCUCAUACUGUAUCCUCUCCCCUCAGCAAGUGUAGGUAAUGCUAUAACUUCUUCUGUGCCAUCAGGAAAAAAAAAAAAAAAAACACUGAAAAAAGGACGUGUCCAAGAAAAAUACAUUUCAGAGCCUUAUAUACCUUCUCAGGUUGUUGUUAAUAACUUUUCUUCAGUUGUCCAGGUAACAAGUAAAUAAAAGAAUAUUAAAAAAACAGACAGAAUAUUUUUAGUGUAGUAUUAAUUCAUAAUAUAACUUGUUUGUCCAGGACCAUAUCCACAUGAAAUUGGAUAUAUUUUUAUAUGUUUUCUGGAUAACACCAUUGUGAGAAGGAUCAUUAACAGUUCAAGAAUAUUCUGUCUCACUGUAAUUAUAUACUUAAAUAAUUUGAUAUUAUAUAGCUAGUGAAAGCUGCUCUCUUACCAGAGUGGAAAAAAUAGAGCCCUUCACAACAGGAAAAAUGAGGUUUAGUGGUACUGGUAUUCAAAUUCAAGCACAUACUUAAAUCUUUGCAGAGCUGAGGCCUAGGGUGGUGGUUAGUUUUAUUUCAGAGAUGAACAGGCAGUCAUCUUGUUGGAAUGACACAAAGUAAUGGAAAUGCAUCAUGCCAUCUGUUGGCAAACCACAGUGCUGCAGCCGGAAGGUUUACAAAACCAUGCCGCAUGUUAUCACCACCAAGCAAAUUAGAAGAAAUCAUAGGGAGUCCUCACAAACAAGCAAGCAUAUAAAAGAGCAAUUGCCAGAAAAUCUAAAUUUGGUUUUCCCUUUAUUUGCACACAUCUGCUAACUGAACACAUUGCAGUUUGAUUACAUAGCCAAAUUACCUUUUCCUAGCACAGCUACUGUUGAGAGAUUAAUUUCUUCCAAGUGUGAGUUUUUGUGCAUCUCUGCAGAUACACUAGAGUAGAAUGAAUUGGUAUAAACAGUGUCUGUGGUCCUGUGGUCCUGAUGAUUUCCCUGUGUAAGACAAUGCUAUCAAAAUAUGACUAGAAUUAAUUAAUUUCUAUUCCUAAUAAAUGUAUUUAAUGAAAGCUUUCUAUUAAAAUUGCCACCAUUAUAUAUGUAAAUUGUGGUAUUAUGGAAUUAUAGAAUCAUUAAGGUUUGAAAAGACAUUUAUCAACAUCAAACCCAGCCAUCAACCUGAUCUACUGAGUCCCAUCACUAAACUAUGUCCUUUGGUGCCAUGUCCAGGAAUGGGGAUUCCAUCAUUUCCCUGGGCAAUUCAUUCCAAUAUUUAGCCACCCUCUCUGUGAAGAAACCCUUCCUGAUAUCCUAUCAAAACCUCCACUGCAUGAACUUGAGACUAUUUUCUCAUGUCCUGUCUCAUCAUCUGAGAAAGAAGACUGAAAUUCUC